UACGAAGGGUGCAAGCGUUACUCGGAAUUACUGGGCGUAAAGCGUGCGUAGGUGGUUUGUUAAGUCUGAUGUGAAAGCCCUGGGCUCAACCUGGGAAUGGCAUUGGAUACUGGCGAGCUAGAGUGCGGUAGAGGGUAGUGGAAUUCCCGGUGUAGCAGUGAAAUGCGUAGAGAUCGGGAGGAACAUCUGUGGCGAAGGCGGGUCUCUGGGCCGAUACUGACGCUGAGGAGCGAAAGCGUGGGGAGCGAACAGG
rnacentral:rRNA from 1 species